GGGUGCACCUUGUGCCUUGUCGAUCGUCUGCCAGUGCGCCGUGAACUUUUUUUUUCCAGUCGUCGAUUGCGCUGCAUGGAGGACACGCGUUGGUAUGUAACUACGUGAUCGAUGUCAACCAGUUACCUUUACGUAAGCAUCCAAGCUCGAGUCUUUCACGGCGCCACGCAAUUACGGCAAAUUGCUGUUUGCCUCGAAGUAUCAGCGGAGAACGCGUCUCUCGCUCGGAACUUUGGCGCGUAGCCGGUUUUUCCGCAGCUUUCCGUGACUCCGGUUCGCGUUGGUAUCGGCUCCGUGUCCCGUUCCUCGACCGGCUGGACGAGAACGAGCCGAGUCGUAAGUCGACGGCACGUUGCAGGAAGCGCAUCGCGUUCCUGGCCAUCGAUGCGGAUAAUUUCAUUCGUUUGUACUCGCUCGUUCGUCUCGUUCGCGCUCCGAGGCUGCUGAAAUUAACGCUUUGCCGAACCAACGCGAACCUUCCUUCUGUUUCACUUUUCCACAAUUGUAUGCAGUGUGUAAGUACGUACAUACUCCUUGUUGCGAUCUCCGAUAUCUCCCGACUUUUCCU